AAGGAUCAUUAGUGAAUAUAGGACGUCCAACUUAACUUGGAGUCCGAACUCUCACUUUCUAACCCUGUGCACUUGUUUGGGAUAGUAACUCUCGCAAGAGAGCGAACUCCUAUUCACUUAUAAACACAAAGUCUAUGAAUGUAUUAAAUUUUAUAACAAAAUAAAACUUUCAACAACGGAUCUCUUGGCUCUCGCAUCGAUGAAGAACGCAGCGAAAUGCGAUAAGUAAUGUGAAUUGCAGAAUUCAGUGAAUCAUCGAAUCUUUGAACGCACCUUGCGCUCCAUGGUAUUCCGUGGAGCAUGCCUGUUUGAGUGUCAUGAAUACUUCAACCCUCCUCUUUCUUAAUGAUUGAAGAGGUGUUUGGUUUCUGAGCGCUGCUGGCCUUUACGGUCUAGCUCGUUCGUAAUGCAUUAGCAUCCGCAAUCGAACUUCGGAUUGACUUGGCGUAAUAGACUAUUCGCUGAGGAAUUCUAGUCUUCGGACUAGAGCCGGGUUGGGUUAAAGGAAGCUUCUAAUCAGAAUGUCUACAUUUUAAGAUUAGAUCUCAAAUCAGGUAGGACUACCCGCUGAACUUAA
rnacentral:rRNA from 2 species